rnacentral:rRNA from 1 species
CGGACGGGUGAGUAACACGUAGAGAACCUACCUUACACAGGGGGACAACGGCUGGAAACGGCUGCUAAUACCGCAUAAGCACCCAGUUUCGCAUGAAACAGAGUGAAAAGAGUAAAUCGGUGUAAGAUGGCUCUGCGUCUGAUUAGCUAGUUGGUGGGGUAAAGACUCACCAAGGCGACGAUCAGUAGCCGGCCUGAGAGGGCGACCGGCCACAUUGGGACUGAGACACGGCCCAGACUCCUACGGGAGGCAGCAG